GACAGAGGUGCCAAGCGUUAGGCGGAAUCACUGGGCUUAAAGCGUGUGUAGGCGGAAUUGUAAGUACCUUGUGAAAUCCCACGGCUCAACCGUGGAACUGCUCGGUAUACUGCUUUUCUUGAGCCACUUAGGGGCUGUCGGAACAAAUGGUGGAGCGGUGAAAUGCGUAGAUAUCAUUUGGAACGCCAAUGGUGAAAACAGGUAGCUGGGAGUGUGCUGACGCUGAGACACGAAAGCCAGGGGAGCAAACGGG
rnacentral:rRNA from 1 species